rnacentral:tRNA from 1 species
AAAGGGUUAGUUUAUGUAAAAUAUUGGAUUGUCAGUCUAAAGAAACUAAUUAAAAGUAUUCUUUU